AGAGUUUGAUCCUGGCUCAGAUUGAACGCUAGCGGGAUGCCUUACACAUGCAAGUCGAACGGCAGCACGGACUUCGGUCUGGUGGCGAGUGGCGAACGGGUGAGUAAUGUAUCGGAACGUGCCUAGUAGCGGGGGAUAACUACGCGAAAGCGUAGCUAAUACCGCAUACGCCCUACGGGGGAAAGCAGGGGAUCGCAAGACCUUGCACUAUUAGAGCGGCCGAUAUCGGAUUAGCUAGUUGGUGGGGUAACGGCUCACCAAGGCGACGAUCCGUAGCUGGUUUGAGAGGACGACCAGCCACACUGGGACUGAGACACGGCCCAGACUCCCUACGGGAGGCAGCAGUGGGGAAUUUUGGACAAUGGGGGAAACCCUGAUCCAGCCAUCCCGCGUGUGCGAUGAAGGCCUUCGGGUUGUAAAGCACUUUUGGCAGGAAAGAAACGUUCCGGGUUAAUACCCCGGGAAACUGACGGUACCUGCAGAAUAAGCCCGGCUACAAAGGUUCAGA
rnacentral:rRNA from 1 species